GUAGUUUUAGUUGAAGAGCUAGUAGCAAGUAUAGUUUUAACAUUGCCUAGCACUAGCAAGACAAUGGGGCUUUUUUUUUCUUCUUUUUUUUUUCUCUCUAAUAGGCACUGGUUUUCUCAUGGCAUCAUCAAUAGGUGUCUUUUGAGCAAAAUAAUGGUGAGCUGCUGGCAGCUUUGAGCUGUUAUGCUCGCUGCCUCUUGACAGCUUUUGAGUAUCUGCUGGCUGGAUUUUGACUGCAAGUCUAUCAGGAUUGAGAGACUCCACAUGUAUCACAGGAUGAAAGCUUUUGUAGAAAACUUUAUACAGAUGCAGUAUUGCUGGAAGUACACUUUUACUCAUGUGGGAAGAAUUCUACUCUGCCACAGAACUGUGAAGGGACCAUGUCAUUGUAUGGGGCAGAAUGCAUGCGGUAGUGUCGACAGCAUUGUUUGAUUACGACAAUCUGAUUACGGUAUUGGCCGUACUGAGUAAAGAAACAGCAUAAGCAGCUUUCAAAAAAAAGACCCUGCUUAAUAAAGCAAUGUUAGGAAAGUGCUCUGUAGUUGUCCUGACCAAAUUUUAAGCUGUCUGUGGCCAUAUUAACUCUUGGUGGCAAGAUUUUUAAAUGUAUUUAAACACUUCAUUUCCAUGAAAAUCGACUGGAGUUUGGUGCAUAAGUAAGGUUUAAGAGUAUGUUUUUGUGAGGACAUCACUGUUUGCAUUCUAUCUGUAAAACAUGAUUAGUUCUGGUUUCAAGGGAGAUGGUUUGCUCUCCUUGAAGACAGAAGUUGUAAUACCUGAUCACUCAACUGCAUUUGGAGAGCAGUGAGAAUUUAUCAUUCCUGGAGCUAUAACUGAUACAGGGUGUAACAAGGGUAAAUUACAUUUUUUAUGUUUUUCUUUUUUUUUUUUUUUUUUUUUUUAAAAAAAAGUAGCCAAUAUUACUAAGGAUCAAGCUGUGCUAAGGCAUUCUGUAUUGUGCUUAGCAGAUCCACUGCGGCUACAUAUGUGGAUGCUCUCUUUGAACGCGUAGCGUCAGCUGGCAAGGUGUCCUUUGGCACCAGCGUGAUUAAAUAAAAAGCGUGUCUACAGAAGUUGGUGUCAUAAAGCCUGCACAACUCCUGAACUGAUUUUUUUUUUAUUUCUUUUUUUAGAUAGUCUUUCCCUCAUUGUCCCGUAUACCAGUUAGUAUGGCUGGACAACUCUCCCUCUUACCUUGCAAGUGGAAAAUAAAAUGCAUGUUCUACAUUUUCAGAGGAGUAUAGGAUUUACCCACAAAGCUUCCUCUGACCUUAAGAUUUGGAAAAAUUUCACCUAAGUGUGGAAGUUAGAUUUUAAGUUGACGUAAACAUUCAAAUAAAUAACUGGGACCUCUGUGGUUUGGAUAAUAUCUUUGCAAGCAAAAGAAAUCAGAUCAGGGAAUGAAGAAUGAAGGAAUCUGCAGUGACUUGGGACUAAUUAGUUUACACAGAAUAUGACAGCAGGACCUUAUUUAUACAGAUAAAUAUAUUCUCCACUGCUUUGCUGUUCUACUUUUAAUUGCUGCCAGAAGUAUGGUUUAUGCCAUUGCUUUAUGAAAUCCUUUGCAGUUUUAGAGAUGUUAGUUAAGAAAACUUACUUGAUAAUUCAUUCUUUUCCUUCCUUAGAUACACUUCUUUGGAUCAUCUUCAUUAAGGUGAUUGGUAGGGGGGAUUUAUACGUGUGUGGUGGAAGAUGUGUAUGUCUGCACGUAGGACAGUAAAACAGAUGCUUAAGCAAGGUCAUAACAUUUAACAGAAGAAGGGUGCAGAGUAGUAAUUUUGACUGAGAGGGUGUGAACUUUUGAAAGUAAGAGCUGACUUAAAAGUUGCAGGUGCAGAUCCACUGCACCUGAUCCUUAAACAGUUCUUCAGUGUCAAUCCAGCACUUGCAUUAGCAUUUCAGUGCUUUCACUAGCAGCAGGAUCAAGGCUUUAAUGCCUGCUCUGCAUCUUGAGGAUUUAGUUCAAAAUCUGGUGUUUCCUUGGAGCUUUCACAGAGGGGGGGGGGGAUUUUCUGUGUCUUGAUCCUUCAAUCCUGUUCUAGAGUAGUCUUGUGCUGCAGUACAGCCGUAACACUGACAGAAACCUAAAGAAAAGGACUUUUUUCACUCUCCUCCUGCUCCUGUGCUCUGGUUUUGCUGUGAGACUGUGCAAUUAAAUGUAUCCCUGCCUCAGUUAGUUCUUUCUGUGUUACUUCAGACUGCCUCCAUUUUCUGUUUUGUGCUGCUUGUAACCAAUUUUAAUAAAGUUUUAUGUGAAAA